GGAGGAUUGGCCGAGUGGCUUAAGGCACCGUCUUGGAAAGGCGGCGAAGUGCAAGCUUCCGUGAGUUCGAAUCUCAUGUCCUCCGCCA
rnacentral:tRNA from 1 species